rnacentral:rRNA from 1 species
UAAGGAAUAUUGGUCAAUGGACGCAAGUCUGAACCAGCCAUGCCGCGUGGAGGAUUAAGGCCCUCUGGGUUGUAAACUCCUUUUAUCUGGGAAGAAAUGUACUUUUUCUUGAGUACUUGACGGUACCAGAGGAAUAAGCACCGGCUAACUCCGUGCCAGCAGCCGCGGUAAUACGGAGGGUGCAAGCGUUAUCCGGAUUCACUGGGUUUAAAGGGUGCGUAGGUGGGCAGGUAAGUCAGUGGUGAAAUCUCCGGGCUUAACCCGGAAACUGCCGUUGAUACUAUUUCUCUUGAAUAUUGUGGAGGUAAGCGGAAUAUGUCAUGUAGCGGUGAAAUGCUUAGAUAUGACAUAGAACACCAAUUGCGAAGGCAGCUUACUACACAAUCGUUGACGCUGAGGCACGAAAGCGUGGGGAUCAAACA